AUGCAGACACCAAAUAUGGGCAAAAGUCUGUAUUAAAUAAGCUGAAUAAGCUAAAUUGAAUCAUUUUAAAAAUACGUUUACGGCAUUUGAUGCGUGCCACAGCGGUUUAUACGUGAUUUAAUACAUAUUACUUAUUGUAAUUGACGUUAGUGUGUCAAGCGGAUAUAUCACUAGAUAAUUGCCAACAACUAGUUUUCUAUAGUAAAUACUAUAUAUAUCCAAAAACUUAAUAUGAAGCGCUUAUAUUACGGCCUGAUCUGUCUGUGCUUCAAUGCUAAUUGGCUCCUGGCGGAUAUUGUGCAAUACGAUCCAGCGGUAAUAGAAGAUGCGCAUUUGCGAACUCCUGGUUUGAUCAAGAAGUAUGGCUACAACUUUGAGGAGCAUAAGGUGGACACCAAAGAUGGCUUUCGUUUGACACUGCAUCGCAUAGCCAAGCCUGGGGCGCAGCCUGUGCUGCUGGUGCAUGGUCUGGAGGACAGCUCCUCGGCGUGGGUUAUGACGGGCUCUGGCCGUGGCUUGGGCUAUCUGCUCAGUGAUCGCGGCUAUGAUGUCUGGUUGAUGAAUUGCCGUGGUAAUCGCUACUCGCGCAAGCAUCGCAAAUUUCAUAUAUACCAACGUCAGUUCUGGGACUUUUCGUUCCAUGAGAUAGGCAUUUACGAUCUGCCCGCGACCAUUGACUAUGUGCUGGCCCUCAGCAAGGGUCACGCUCAGCUGCACUAUGUGGGCCACUCGCAGGGCACCACGGCGGCCUUUGUGCUGGGCGCCGAGAAACCAGCCUAUAUGAAAAAGAUCAAACUAAUGCAGGCCCUCGCCCCGGUUGCUUAUUUCGAAUAUCUUGAAAUGCCACUGCUUCGAGCUCUGGCCCCCUACAUGCCAAGCAUUGUGCGUUUGCUUCAAGGUCUGGGAAUUAAUGAAUUGCCACCGGAAACAGAAGUCUGGCGUGAAUUAAGCUACAAAUAUUGCAGCCUUGCAUUUCCCAAUACGUGCGCCAAUUUGAUAAUGCAAUUAGUUGGCAUAGACCUGGAGCAGGUGAAUAUCACACUUACGCCUAUAAUUCUGGGCCAAUAUCCUGCUGGCAGUUCGGUCAAGUCUGUCAGCCACUAUAGCCAGCAGGUGCUGAGCGGUGGUUUCUACAAGUAUGACUACGAGAGUCCCUAUAUGAAUUGGCAAGAAUAUGGCACUAUUACGCCACCAGCGUACAAGUUGGCCAACGUUAACUGCAAAGUCGCCUUGUUUUAUGGCCAAAAUGAUUUGCUCGUCGCUGUCAAAGAUGUGCAGCGGCUGCGCAAGGAGCUGCCAAAUGUUGUGCACGAUGAGAAACUGGCCUACAAAAAAUUCAAUCAUAUCGACUUUCUCACUGCAAUCGACGUCAAAGAGUUGCUCUACAACAGCAUGUUUCAAGUCAUGGAAAAGGUCGACAAAGGCGAACUCUAGUUGGAAACGAAUACAAUUUCUGAUGUAAUUGAAAAACCGAAACAGUUUUUGUUUCAAUUUAAUAAUGUUGGGACCGCGUUUAACAGUGUAAUUUAAGAGCGGUAAUUGAUCCAAUGUAAGACAUUACGCUCAUUUGAUACCUUUAUUCUCUAUUCCUCUCAUGGUUCUUUAACUCUCGAUCAAACGCAUUGGCUUGAUCAUGCUAAGCCAUGCUCUCGUAGUUCGAGCUUAGCGUUUGAAUGCUGCAGUUGUGCGUAUAGCUCUGGUGUUUGAAUUGUCUAUAUUACAAAUAUUUUCUGAGGAUUCUUUAAUUGGAUUUAUAGCAACUAAUUGAGU